UUUGCUGUCCUUUUAUAGCUGAAGAGGUUGCCCUAAGUUUCCUUGUUGAGAUGGAGUUCUCUUUCCUAUUUGGAGUUGAGUUCUUGGAAAGCAAUUGUAUCUUCUUGAGAUUUGGCUUCCUAAAUAUGUAGGAUAGAGUGCUGAGGUGUAUUAUUGACUGGCUGAGCUGUCCUCACGUGUUUGGGGAGGAGAAGACUUCUUAAAGACUUGAAUUCCAAGUUUCCCGCGUUCUGUUGUCUUGCUGUCGUAGACCUUG
rnacentral:lncRNA from 1 species